rnacentral:rRNA from 1 species
AUGGCUCAGAUUGAACGCUGGCGGCAUGCCUUACACAUGCAAGUCGAACGGCAGCACGGGAGCUUGCUCCUGGUGGCGAGUGGCGAACGGGUGAGUAAUACAUCGGAACGUACCCUGAAGUGGGGAUAACGUAGCGAAAGUUACGCUAAUACCGCAUAUUCUGUGAGCAGGAAAGAGGGGGAUCGCAAGACCUCUUGCUUUAGGAGCGGCCGAUGUCGGAUUAGCUAGUUGGUGAGGUAAAGGCUCACCAAGGCGACGAUCCGUAGCGGGUCUGAGAGGAUGAUCCGCCACACUGGGACUGAGACACGGCCCAGACUCCUACGGGAGGCAGCAGUGGGAAUUUUGGACAAUGGGCGCAAGCCUGAUCCAGCCAUGCCGCGUGAGUGAAGAAGGCCUUCGGGUUGUAAAGCUCUUUCGGUGGGGAAGAAAUUGCUUCGGUUAAUACCUGGAGUAGAUGACGGUACCCGCAUAAGAAGCACCGGCUAACUACGUG